UCUCUCUCAAAGUCCCACGAUAAGGAAGCAGGAAGCGAGGAUGCGAAUCAGAACUAGUCAGAGAGAGAGAGGUGGGGGGAUCCCAGAGCGCUGCGCCCAGAGGCACACACUGCUGAGUCUCCGGAAGCUACUUGGGGAGCCGAUGGGCAGAAUUCAGAUUUCAGGGUGGUGAUGUGGGAAACUCCACAGAGGCCGGCUGACUGCGUGCUGAGAAAUGUCUACAUUAGAACACGCCAAGUGUGCGGUGGGGGCAUCCCGGCAGGCCACUGCAGAUUUAGAGAAACAUGGAAUAAUCUCGAGACGCCGGCAGAACCACAGAACGUGCUAAAGAAAUACAUUCUAGUGAGAAACAUUCUAUUGAGAAAUGACUCGAAAGACUACAGGCUUGUGUAAAAAAGUAUUCUUGUAUUAAACCUCUGACAAUCUUCAAACAUACAAAAUUUUUAAAAAUGAG